CCUACGGGAGGCUGCAGUGGGGAAUAUUGCACAAUGGGCGCAAGCCUGAUGCAGCCAUGCCGCGUGUGUGAAGAAGGCCUUCGGGUUGUAAGGCACUUUCAGCGGGGAGGAAGGCGGUGAGGUUAAUAACCUCAUCGAUUGACGUUACCCGCAGAAGAAGCACCGGCUAACUCCGUGCCAGCAGCCGCGGUAAUACGGAGGGUGCAAGCGUUAAUCGGAAUUACUGGGCGUAAAGCGCACGCAGGCGGUCUGUCAAGUCGGAUGUGAAAUCCCCGGGCUCAACCUGGGAACUGCAUUCGAAACUGGCAGGCUAGAGUCUUGUAGAGGGGGGUAGAAUUCCAGGUGUAGCGGUGAAAUGCGUAGAGAUCUGGAGGAAUACCGGUGGCGAAGGCGGCCCCCUGGACAAAGACUGACGCUCAGGUGCGAAAGCGUGGGGAGCAAACAGGAUUAGAUACCCGUGUAGUC
rnacentral:rRNA from 1 species